rnacentral:misc_RNA from 1 species
AUUUUAGUGAGACUUGUUGGAAUAACACAGUGAUGAGAAACCAGUCCAAUCUGGAGUUUUUCCGGGAUGUAGAAUCGUUCUUUGACAGCGCCGACCAGAAGGAGGCGCUAACACGGAAGAAGCUGGAGUGUACGGGACUGAUCGCCGCGGAGAGGAACACCAUGUCACGUGUCAAUGUUUCCGAAUGUUUGAGAGUAUGGGACAACAUCAUGUGCUGGCCCCCCACCCCCGCGGGUCAGCUAGCCGUUCUACCUUGUCCCAGCCACAUCAAGAACAUUGACACCACCAGAAACGCCUCCCGACAGUGUAUGGAGGAUGGCACAUGGUUGGUCAAUCCAUUCAACAACCGGACGUGGACCAACUUUACCCAGUGUAUCGGUGCAACAACGGGGGAUAACUCCCGCUCGGUCCCUGCGCUUAUUGAGCAAUAUGCCGACUCAGUUCGGUUGAUGUACAACAUUGGGUACGGGUUAUCUCUCGGGUCAUUAGUCAUAGCCGUCAUCAUUAUGGUCUACUUCAAAAAGCUCCACUGCGCGCGCAACUCCAUCCACAUCAACCUGUUUGUGUCGUUCCUCUUGCGAGCCACCAUGUCUUUCAUCAAAGAAAACCUUCUUGUGCAGUACGUGGGUUUCCCCGGUGACGUGUAUUAUGAAAAUGGCGUCAUCAAAUUUAGAGGUGACGUAUCACACUGGGGGUGUCGUCUGUUCUUCACCCUGUUUAACUAUAUCGUUGCCGCAAGCUACAUGUGGAUCUUUGUGGAAGCCCUCUAUCUACAGAUACUCAUUUCCGUUUCCGUUUUCAUGGAGAGAAACCGGACCAAGUGGUUCAUGCUUCUGGGAUGGUGUGAGUAUUGGAUGGGGGUUAUUUAUGAAGUAGGAGGGUGCUAUUUAUAGAUUGUUAGGAAUGGGAGUGGGACUAUAGAUCUCAACACCCUGACCUCGGAACAAACCGAUAAAGAACUGUUAAAGUUCAUUUGAUCGACGACAUACCGUCUACUGAAUUUGGUUUGGUUCAGAUUUUAUAUGUGUAUUGAUGUAGUUACAUGUAAAACCAAUCAAAAUUGUCGGGGGGGGGGGGGGGGGGUCCCUGGAAUACAUUGUACAGUGUUUUAUAGCUAACCAAGUUUUUUCUUUCCUUCCAGUAUUCCCACUCAGUUUUAUUCUGCCGUGGGUAUUUGUUCGGAUAUUUGAGUUCAACGAGUUUUGUUGGAAUAUCAGCACAAACAAGCUAACCAUGUUUAUCAUAUAUGGCCCAUUUACAAUCACAGUACUGGCGCUUAGCUAAAUCUAUCCUCAUCCUGAUUCCGCUGUUUGGCGUAUAUAACAUCAUCUUCUCUGUGAACUACGUGAUGACAAGCUUCGACUAUAUAGACGAGACCUCCAUGGCUUACUUCAUUCUGUGGUGGUCGGAACUGUUCUUUAACUCGUUUCAGGGCUUUAUUCUUGCCAUGUUGUUUUGUUUCCUUAAUGGCGAGGUCCAGACCGAACUUAAGAAAGUUUGGCAUCGGCGUUCUCAGAACUGGACGGGAAGUUUCAGAACAACACGAACAUUUUUGUCUCCGAAUCGUAAUUCUGUGAAACAUCCGUCUCCAUCCAAUGAAAACACGACACGUCACGGUGACGUCAAACUUAUCACAAAACAGGAAUCCGAUUCAAAGUUAUUAACUUCGGACAAAAAGGAAUCAAAUUGUGAAAGUGAUAAUGAAACGGGAAUGGGUGAUACGGACUGUACGGAGGAACAACACCCUUGUUUAAACAAUAACAAAUACGACCACACAAACAGUGAUGACAUCACGCGCAGGCGUGACGAUAUCAUAUUGUUGACGUAAUCCGGCUGUUUGAUUGGAUAAUUGUUAUCUAUGGAAAAUUGGAAGAAAUUCGGGGUUUUUUUUUUCUUUCAGUUGUAACGAGUAUGGAAUUAAACCAAUACAAAAUCAAUCGUCUAAAAAAAGUGUUUAGAGUCUUUCAAGAUUUUUUUUUUCAAUUUGAUCUACUUUUGAUUAACGUCAUAUUAAUGGCUUGGUCUGGUUUGUGACUUUAAUUCAGCUAAAAUAUGUUGUUUUGGAAAAUAAAGGUGUACUUU